AGAUUAAGUUAUUAAGGGCGCACGGUGGAUGCCUUGGCACUAGAAGCCGAUGAAGGACGUUACUAACGACGAUAUGCUUUGGGGAGCUGUAAGUAAGCUUUGAUCCAGAGAUUUCCGAAUGGGGAAACCCAGCAUGAGUUAUGUCAUGUUAUCGAUAUGUGAAUACAUAGCAUAUCAGAAGGCACACCCGGAGAACUGAAACAUCUUAGUACCCGGAGGAAGAAAAAGAAAAUUCGAUUCCCUUAGUAGCGGCGAGCGAAACGGGAAGAGCCCAAACCAACAAGCUUGCUUGUUGGGGUUGUAGGACACUCUAUACGGAGUUACAAAGGACGACAUUAGACGAAUCAUCUGGAAAGAUGAAUCAAAGAAGGUAAUAAUCCUGUAGUCGAAAAUGUUGUCUCUCUUGAGUGGAUCCUGAGUACGACGGAACACGUGAAAUUCCGUCGGAAUCUGGGAGGACCAUCUCCUAAGGCUAAAUACUCUCUAGUGACCGAUAGUGAACCAGUACCGUGAGGGAAAGGUGAAAAGCACCCCGGAAGGGGAGUGAAAUAGAACCUGAAACCGUGUGCUUACAAGUAGUCAGAGCCCGUUAAUGGGUGAUGGCGUGCCUUUUGUAGAAUGAACCGGCGAGUUACGAUUUGAUGCAAGGUUAAGCAGUAAAUGUGGAGCCGUAGCGAAAGCGAGUCUGAAUAGGGCGUUUAGUAUUUGGUCGUAGACCCGAAACCAGGUGAUCUACCCUUGGUCAGGUUGAAGUUCAGGUAACACUGAAUGGAGGACCGAACCGACUUACGUUGAAAAGUGAGCGGAUGAACUGAGGGUAGCGGAGAAAUUCCAAUCGAACCUGGAGAUAGCUGGUCCUCUCCGAAAUAGCUUUAGGGCUAGCCUCAAGUGAUGAUUAUUGGAGGUAGAGCACUGUUUGGACGAGGGGCCCCUCUCGGGUUACCGAAUUCAGACAAACUCCGAAUGCCAAUUAAUUUAACUUGGGAGUCAGAACAUGGGUGAUAAGGUCCGUGUUCGAAAGGGAAACAGCCCAGACCACCAGCUAAGGUCCCAAAAUAUAUGUUAAGUGGAAAAGGAUGUGGCGUUGCCCAGACAACUAGGAUGUUGGCUUAGAAGCAGCCAUCAUUUAAAGAGUGCGUAAUAGCUCACUAGUCGAGUGACACUGCGCCGAAAAUGUACCGGGGCUAAACAUAUUACCGAAGCUGUGGAUUGUCCUUUGGACAAUGGUAGGAGAGCGUUCUAAGGGCGUUGAAGCAUGAUCGUAAGGACAUGUGGAGUGCUUAGAAGUGAGAAUGCCGGUGUGAGUAGCGAAAGACGGGUGAGAAUCCCGUCCACCGAUUGACUAAGGUUUCCAGAGGAAGGCUCGUCCGCUCUGGGUUAGUCGGGUCCUAAGCUGAGGCCGACAGGCGUAGGCGAUGGAUAACAGGUUGAUAUUCCUGUACCACCUAUAAUCGUUUUAAUCGAUGGGGGGACGCAGUAGGAUAGGCGAAGCGUGCGAUUGGAUUGCACGUCUAAGCAGUAAGGCUGAGUAUUAGGCAAAUCCGGUACUCGUUAAGGCUGAGCUGUGAUGGGGAGAAGACAUUGUGUCUUCGAGUCGUUGAUUUCACACUGCCGAGAAAAGCCUCUAGAU
rnacentral:rRNA from 1 species